GGAGAACCUGGAAAGAGGGGGACAUUUGCAAUGGUGACAUUUGUCUUCCCAAGUCACUGUUACACAUGAUGGGCCCUGCUCUCCUGGAGAUGGCUGAACACCUGCCUGCCCAUGGGAAAUGCUGCCUCUUUAGUUGCAAACAGACAGAGAAUUUCUGCAUUUUCUCACUGUUGGGCAGUGAUGCAGGCUAGGUGAAGUGGACUUCUUCAUGCAAGCCUUCUGUCCUCUCCAAUUCACCUAUAGCACUAGUCAGACAUUCACAGUCCUGAACCAACAUCUUGGAUUGCUUCAAAUCCUCAAGAAGCUUUGUGAAAUGGAGAAAAAAAAUCUAUCAGGAAAAAAACUUUUGUGACAAAUUUCAUCUUUCAGACAAACUGCAGAACUGAUCUUCUUGAUCCCUAAAUAAGUAAAGAGCCCAUCCAUAUGAAUGUACUGUUUUACAAACAGCAGCACCAAGAUCAAUCUAGCUGCAAAAUAUGCUCCUUGCCAUGCUACUGUACUUGUGAAAAUACAGGAAUGUACUAAUCAGGGGGGUUAGAAAUCACCUUAACGGUUCCUGUGACACUCUUAUUGGAUUUACAUUCACCAGCAAAUCCAAGAAAACAAUUUGAUAAUUUUAGCACAAAGCAGACAAAGAAGGAUUUGCUAAGCUGCUUAGAGCCUGGCCCUGAAAUGUUGGAAAGGUUCAGGUUAAAGUACAUUCACAGGAUAGGCACCACGGACAGACUAUAUCUGACAUGAACCAUGUUUUGAAUCUCUGAAGCCAUCUUAUGAUCAAGAAGGUAUCUCAUUCUACAGCAAAAUUCAGCAUGGGAGAUAUUUUAUCAAUCUGACAGAGGGAAGAAUCAAUAUUGUUUCAUUAUAUCAUUAUUUGAAGAAGAUUCCCAUCACUGUUCAGACACAGCCUUAAACUUGCAACACGCUCCCAUUGGAGACCUGUGGAAGACUGUGGCUGCUCACACACGAAGGAUGUGCAACAGCACCUUGUGGUGAGACGGUGACUCGAUCUGUGUGCGCACCAUGCCCAGCAACCGGGUCCCGACACCACACGGCUCCGCGGCACGGGAGCUGUACAGAGACCAGACCGAACAGAACUCCACGAGGUGAGGGUGAAGCGAUGCUGUCGUACGGGCAGUGGCGGCAACCACAGAGGUAACACCAACACCGAGGGGGAGGAGGGAGAACCGGGAUUACCUGCUGGGCCUGCUGCAGCAGCUCCAUCCGCUCGUGCAGGAUCUGGCUGUCAAACUCACGGCUCUGCCUCAGGAUCUGCCGCCGCACCUUCUCCACCGCCGCCCGCAAAUCCUCCCGCUGCGCCUCCGUCAGCGACUCGCUGGCCCGCCGGCCUGGAUCCUGCUGCAGGGCAUUGUACAGCGUGGCCUCCAGCUCCUGGAUUUUCUAAUGCAACCCAAAUCACACACAGACAGGCUGACGUUUGAAUCCAGCGAGCAAACGACCCACCAAGAGCUAGAGGAGCAGGCCAGCAAGGGAGGGCUAGGGCAGGAGGGCAGGAUGGACACAGACAAGACAGAAAGCAGCGAGCGUGAGCAGUGAGGAGCAUUCCACACAGAGUGCACGGAGCCUCCCAGCACGGACUGACACCCGGGAGAUGGGUCCUGAUCUAGCAAAUCACUGAUUCAGAAGAUAGGUCUGAUAAAACUCCAAGUCCUUAUGCUGAACAUUGCAAAUUAAACUAAAACUAACCAAUUUCCUUCAACUGCAGCUGAACUGUUAAGCCAUCCUAUAAAAUAAAAAGACCACAGGAAAAACUGAGAACAGAAAUCUCACUCUCCCUCUCUGUGGCCCUAGUGACCUGAUAUCCAUGGCUCACAGUCUACGUCACUGGCUUAGUUCCAAGCUGCCAUGAGCAAUGAAGGAAGGAACACUUGCAUGCACUAAUCCUUCAUCCGUCUCUCGCUGUCCGCCAGAUUCCUAACAUGAUUCUCAUGCACUGAGCAAAACUUCAGUACUCCGCAAAGCAGAGAAAACAGAACUUCACAUUCACGUGGAGAAUUGUACUCUGAAGAGGAAAGGAAGGAAUCAUGGCAGUGUUUCCUUGAUUACUGGGGUUAAUAUGCUCCUAUCAAAAACCAGCAUCCAGACUAACAAUAUUUGGAUCAAGAGCAUCUGACCGCUUCCCUUUGGUCCUCGUAACACCUUUGUGAGGGAGGAAACCCGAACAUGCAGGGCCACAGCUGGAUUCUGCAGCAUCAUCCCGUGACAUGCUACUGAAGCUGAACUAACAACUCGGUCCUCGGCUUGUACAGGCAGAAGACCAGUUUGAAACAGAUUGGAAAGUUCUGUCUCACCCCAAAGAAUACAAGCAAUCGAUUGUUCUAGAAACCACUCGCCUAUUUUACCAUGACACCAACUCUGUUAAGCAGAGAAAGGCAGGAAACCUUCCUGGGAUGAAAUAUAUGCACAUUCCCUUGAGGUGAGGUUUAGCUAAAAGAAUUAUACUUUGAGCUAUUUUGUUCUUACCUUCUCAUUCUCCAGGUCUAACAUCUUCUGUGUCAGUGCAGCUUCUGUCCCCUCUAUCUGUUUCAACCACUACAGCAGUGUGAAGAGAAAAAUAGAAAAUGAACAGAGAUUUUGAAAAGGGUUCUACCAAAUAUUUUGCAAGUUUGUUGCCAGCACUUCCAGGCAUAUGCUCCUCCCAUGCUAUCUAUUCACUCUGAAGACACACAUGAAUAAACAGGGUGUGAGAGCACAGGCAGAAUGGAGGACUGCAGAAACACAGUAAAAGACUAAAGUGGAGGUUGCUUUCCUACAGUAAGUUAAACGGGGUUUUUCCUGUAAAGUUCGAGAAACAAAAUAGACUUGGGUCAAGAUUGCAAGAUCAACCUGACUGUUUCUUACUUAAAUGCUUCUUGGCCUCAUUUGUGAAACCAUCAUCUCACUUCAGGCCUCCAGUCCUGCAUUUUUCCAGACGGUAAUUUGAACAAAAGUCAAGGUGGAGAACUCAACUCUUAAUUCUGCACUCUCUGUGGGAAGAGGCUCACUUGUAAAACAUUGGUAAUGUAGAGGGAAAAAUAAAACAGACAGAUGGAAGCUCUUGUAGUUGCUACUAUGAAUCCCUUACCACUAUGGAAUGAAGAACAGCUAUUGCAUUCCAAAGGUGACAAGCUGAAGAUGCUCCUAAGGAAAGCCUCACUACAGAUAUUCAGCAAAACUGUGAGCAUUCUGAAAUCAAUGGAAAUGGGAAAUCCUGAGCAUCUCUCACAGCUACCCUCAAUCAAGUGAAGGGCUAUUUGCAAAAAUUAGAGGUCUAAUUUUUUUUUUAAGGUGAUAUGCUAACUGAUGACUUGGUGUGCUUUGGGAGAUGAGUAUCCAACCAAAUCUGUAGGUAAGAAGCAGCUUUUAACUCUUUUCAUUCAGACUACUCAACUUCCUAAAAAUAUGCAGGGACAAUUUCCAUUUAUUUCCUCUAGAGAUCAUGCUGUGCUCAUUAAAGCACUGAAUAGCAACAAGCCUCCUAUACUUGUAAAUACAACUAAAAUUCAACCAUAAACCACUAGUGAGUGGCACUGGGAUUAAUACUUUAGUUACUUCGUAGAAAAGUUACCCUGGCCUGUUGUGCAACAUCACUGACAAUACAAGUCUGAAUUCAAUCUUAUGUGAACCAGCAUGCAAAUCAAGUUGCACAAAUAGCCUGUUCAUGGGGGAACAGGAGUGAAAAGAAUAAUUCUUGCUUCGUUCUAUCAGAAGGUAACCAAGGGAGAUCCUGAUGUUUAUCUUGUUCUUGUUCUAAAAGAAUUCCACCUACCUGAAUGAGUUUGGGUCAGGCACCUCAUGCUUCAAGGCCCUGGCCUUGGCAAAUAUCUUAAGCAUAUUCAUUCAACAAAUAAAAGCCUUCACUAAACUUGGUAUAAAAUAAGGAUUGAAUGUCAUAUUUCUGAACUCAGAUGAAGACAUUUAGUAUCACGAAUCAUGUAUUGUAGCAAGCCUGACAAUGAAUCACAUUCUUACCUAGACUAAAUGUAAAUUAUAUUGAUCAAUCAGCCUUCAGUCUCACUGAGGAACUCCUGAGAGAACCAGAUCAUAUUUUUAUGAAACCUUUGGUUUUUUGUUGUUGUUGUUGGUUGGUUGGUUGGUUGUUGUUGGGGUUUUUUUUUGGUUGGUUGUUUUGUUUGUUUGUUUGUUUGGGGUUUUUUUUGCAUUUUCUUCCCUGCUAAGUGUCAAACCAUUUGUUUGGAUAUUAGUCUGGUCAUUCAAGAAAGGCUCCUAGCCAUCCAACUGUUUAUACCUUUAUUCCUUCCUGAUGGCAGAAGAGUUGAAGUGCACUUCCAUUGUUUUCAGGGAAGGUGGUUAUAUGAAGAUUAAAUGCUGGUGACCUUCGCUCUCUCUCCUGAGGAAAGAUUUGUUUAAAAACAACAUUUGUGAUUAUACAUUAACAUUUAUUCCCCACCCUUACGAAACAUACUUGUACAUUAAAAAGGCAGAUUCCUGCUCUCAUUCCAAAUCUACUCUACUUCCUCUUAUUUUUACCAUAUUUGAAGAAUUUUGGAAAAAUACAAAUACAGUGUUA